rnacentral:rRNA from 1 species
AGCAGCCGCGGUAAUUCCAGCUCCAAUAGCGUAUAUUAAAGUUGCUGCAGUUAAAAAGCUCGUAGUUGAAUUUCGGGAUCAAUAUGUUGGUCGUGCCUCGGUACGUACUGGCAUUGUUGGUUUCUACCUUCUGACGAACCAUGAUGUCAUUAAUUUGGUGUCUUGGGAAAUCAGGACUGUUACUUUGAAGAAAUUAGAGUGUUUAAAGCAGGCUCACGCUUGAAUACAUUAGCAUGGAAUAAUGAAAUAGGACGUUUGGUUCUAUUUUGUUGGUUUCUAGGAUCGACGUAAUGAUUAAUAGGGAUAGUUGGGGGCAUUAGUAUUCAAUUGUCAGAGGUGAAAUUCUUGGAUUUAUUGAAGACUAACUACUGCGAAAGCAUUUGCCUAAGGAUGUUUUCAUUAAUCUAAGAACGAAAGUUAGGGGAUCGAAGACGAUCAGAUACCGUCGUAAGUCUUAACCAUAAACUAUGCCGACUAGGGAUCGGAUGAUGUUAAUUUUAAUGACUCAUUCGGACGUACC